rnacentral:rRNA from 1 species
UACGAAGGGUGCAAACGUUGCUCGGAAUUAUUGGGCGUAAAGCGCACGUAGGCGGCUUUGCAAGUCGGAUGUGAAAUCCCUCGGCUUAACCAAGGAAGUGCAUCCGAAACUGCAGAGCUUGAGUACUUAAGAGGAUCGCGGAAUUCCCGGUGUAGAGGUGAAAUUCGUAGAUAUCGGGAGGAACACCGGUGGCGAAGGCGGGUCUCUGGGCAGUAACUGACGCUGAGGAGCGAAAGCGUGGGGAGCGAACAGG